UGGGGAAUUUUGGACAAUGGGCGAAAGCCUGAUCCAGCAAUGCCGCGUGUGUGAAGAAGGCCUUCGGGUUGUAAAGCACUUUUGUCCGGAAAGAAAUCCUUGGCUCUAAUACAGUCGGGGGAUGACGGUACCGGAAGAAUAAGCACCGGCUAACUACGUGCCAGCAGCCGCGGUAAUACGUAGGGUGCAAGCGUUAAUCGGAAUUACUGGGCGUAAAGCGUGCGCAGGCGGUUUGCUAAGACCGAUGUGAAAUCCCCGGGCUCAACCUGGGAACUGCAUUGGUGACUGGCAGGCUAGAGUAUGGCAGAGGGGGGUAGAAUUCCACGUGUAGCAGUGAAAUGCGUAGAGAUGUGGAGGAAUACCGAUGGCGAAGGCAGCCCCCUGGGCCAAUACUGACGCUCAUGCACGAAAGCGUGGGGAGCAAACAGGAUUAGAUACCCUGGUAGUCCACGCCCUAAAACGAUGUCAACUAGUUGUUGGGGAUUCAUUUCCUUAGUAACGUAGCUAACGCGUGAAGUUGACCGCCUGGGGAGUACGUCGCAAGAUUAAAACUUAAAUGAAUUGACGGGGUCAUAGCUGUUUCCU
rnacentral:rRNA from 1 species